GUAAAGCUGGUACAAUAGCCGUACGGUUUUUUAUAUACCGAAAAGCAUUCAUUCAUCAUGGAGUCCAGGAUGAUUUACGAUGUGAUGGUAGAACAAUGCUGGAUUAUCACCCUUUAAUUCUUGAAACUACAUUAGUUUCCAAUGCCAGUGGAUCGGCAAGGCUGAGACUUGCAAACUCAUCAACAUCUGGAAAAUGAAAUUUGCAAAUUCCUACAAAGAUCCUAUGCUUCAGAUUCUUGAAUGUGGAGGGAACCCUUAUGAUGCAGUGUCAUUGGCUGAGAAAUCGGCUCUUUAUACAACCCAAAUUCCAUUAAAAUAGCAACCAUGGACGGAUAUCAACCAGAUCUGGAGCUCUCAGAUGAUCCUUAUGUUACCAAGAGACUAAACACAGAGAACAUUCCUUGUGG